rnacentral:rRNA from 1 species
UGAGGAAUAUUGGUCAAUGGGCGAGAGCCUGAACCAGCCAAGUAGCGUGCAGGAUGACGGCCCUAUGGGUUGUAAACUGCUUUUAUGUGGGGAUAAAGUGCGUGACGUGUCAUGCAUUGCAGGUACCACAUGAAUAAGGACCGGCUAAUUCCGUGCCAGCAGCCGCGGUAAUACGGAAGGUCCGGGCGUUAUCCGGAUUUAUUGGGUUUAAAGGGAGCGUAGGCUGUCUAUUAAGCGUGUUGUGAAAUAUACCGGCUCAACCGGUGGCUUGCAGCGCGAACUGGUCGACUUGAGUAUGCAGGAAGUAGGCCGAAGUCAUGGUGUAGCGGUGAAAUGCUUAGAUAUCAUGACGAACUCCGAUUGCGCAGGCAGCUUACUGAAGCAUAACUGACGCUGAUGCUCGAAAGUGCGGGUAUCAAACAGG